rnacentral:rRNA from 4 species
CUGAGGCGUGACGACGAGGCACUACGGUGCUGAAGCAACAAAUGCCCUGCUUCCAGGAAAAGCCUCUAAGCAUCAGGUAACAUCAAAUCGUACCCCAAACCGACACAGGUGGUCAGGUAGAGAAUACCAAGGCGCUUGAGAGAACUCGGGUGAAGGAACUAGGCAAAAUGGUGCCGUAACUUCGGGAGAAGGCACGCUGACAUGUAGGUGAAGUGAUUUACUCAUGGAGCUGAAGUCAGUCGAAGAUACCAGCUGGCUGCAACUGUUUAUUAAAAACACAGCACUGUGCAAACACGAAAGUGGACGUAUACGGUGUGACGCCUGCCCGGUGCCGGAAGGUUAAUUGAUGGGGUCAGCGCAAGCGAAGCUCCUGAUCGAAGCCCCGGUAAACGGCGGCCGUAACUAUAACGGUCCUAAGGUAGCGAAAUUCCUUGUCGGGUAAGUUCCGACCUGCACGAAUGGCGUAAUGAUGGCCAGGCUGUCUCCACCCGAGACUCAGUGAAAUUGAACUCGCUGUGAAGAUGCAGUGUACCCGCGGCAAGACGGAAAGACCCCGUGAACCUUUACUAUAGCUUGACACUGAACAUUGAGCCUUGAUGUGUAGGAUAGGUGGGAGGCUUUGAAGUGUGGACGCCAGUCUGCAUGGAGCCGACCUUGAAAUACCACCCUUUAAUGUUUGAUGUUCUAACGUGGACCCGUGAUCCGGGUUGCGGACAGUGUCUGGUGGGUAGUUUGACUGGGGCGGUCUCCUCCUAAAGAGUAACGGAGGAGCACGAAGGUUGGCUAAUCCUGGUCGGACAUCAGGAGGUUAGUGCAAUGGCAUAAGCCAGCUUGACUGCGAGCGUGACGGCGCGAGCAGGUGCGAAAGCAGGUCAUAGUGAUCCGGUGGUUCUGAAUGGAAGGGCCAUCGCUCAACGGAUAAAAGGUACUCCGGGGAUAACAGGCUGAUACCGCCCAAGAGUUCAUAUCGACGGCGGUGUUUGGCACCUCGAUGUCGGCUCAUCACAUCCUGGGGCUGAAGUAGGUCCCAAGGGUAUGGCUGUUCGCCAUUUAAAGUGGUACGCGAGCUGGGUUUAGAACGUCGUGAGACAGUUCGGUCCCUAUCUGCCGUGGGCGCUGGAGAACUGAGGGGGGCUGCUCCUAGUACGAGAGGACCGGAGUGGACGCAUCACUGGUGUUCGGGUUGUCAUGCCAAUGGCACUGCCCGGUAGCUAAAUGCGGAAGAGAUAAGUGCUGAAAGCAUCUAAGCACGAAACUUGCCCCGAGAUGAGUUCUCCCUGAGACUUUAGGUCUCCUGAAGGAACGUUGAAGACGACGACGUUGAUAGGCCGGGUGUGUAAGCGCAGCGAUGCGUUGAGCUAACCGGUACUAAUGAACCGUGAGGCUUAACCUUAC